rnacentral:rRNA from 1 species
AGAGCGAACGCUGGCGGCAUGCUUAACACAUGCAAGUCGCACGGGCAGGGGAAACCCUGUCAGUGGCGGACGGGUGAGUAACGCGUAGGUAUCUAUCCUUGGGUGGGGGACAACUGUGGGAAACUACAGCUAAUACCGCAUGAUGACCGAGGUCCAAAGGCCGCAAGGCCGCCUGGGGAGGAGCCUGCGUACGAUUAGCUAGUUGGUGGGGUAACUGCCUACCAAGGCGACGAUCGUUAGCUGGUCUGAGAGGAUGAUCAGCCACAUUGGGACUGAGACACGGCCCAAACUCCUACGGGAGGCAGCAGUGGGGAAUAUUGGACAAUGGGCGCAAGCCUGAUCCAGCAAUGCCGCGUGGGUGAAGAAGGUCUUCGGAUUGUAAAGCCCUUUCGACGGGGACGAUGAUGACGGUACCCGUAGAAGAAGCCCCGGCUAACUUCGUGCCAGCAGCCGC